rnacentral:rRNA from 1 species
CUUUGUGAUACAUUUUCGAAGAGUCGAGUUGUUUGGGAAUGCAGCUCAAAUUGGGUGGUAAAUUCCAUCUAAAGCUAAAUAUUGGCGAGAGACCGAUAGCGAACAAGUACCGUGAGGGAAAGAUGAAAAGCACUUUGGAAAGAGAGUUAACAGUACGUGAAAUUGUUGGAAGGGAAACGCUUGAAGUCAGACUUGCUUGCCGAGCAAUCGGUUUGCAGGCCAGCAUCAGUUUUCCGGGAUGGAUAAUGGUAGAGAGAAGGUAGCAGUUUCGGCUGUGUUAUAGCUCUCUGCUGGAUACAUCUUGGGGGACUGAGGAACGCAGUGUGCCUUUGGC